GGCACUGCAAGUCAAGGGUGAAAUCCCGGGGCUCAACCUCGGGACUGCCCUUGAAACUGCAGCGCUAGAAUCGUGGAGAGGCGAGUGGAAUUCCGAGUGUAGAGGUGAAAUUCGUAGAGAUUCGGAAGAACACCAGUGGCGAAGGCGACUCGCUGGACAAGUAUUGACGCUGAGGUGCGAAAGCGUGGGGAGCAAACAGG
rnacentral:rRNA from 1 species